rnacentral:SRP_RNA from 1 species
GCUGGGAACACUGACACACACUUGUACUACCAGUUAUCUGAAAGGUGAAGCCAGAAAAACUGAUAGAAUCCAGAAGUUCUGGACUGUUAAUACACUAUGCCCAGUGAACCUCCAUGAUUAGUCUGGCAUCAACAUGGUGACCCCCGUGAAAGCAGGAUACCACCAGGUUGCCUAAGGAGGGGUGAACCAGCCCAGGCUGGAAACAGAGUAGGUCAAAACACAGAUCAGUAGUGGGAUCCCACCUGGGAAUAACCACUGCACUCCAGCCUGAGCCACGUAGUGAGACCCUGUCUCUU